rnacentral:rRNA from 1 species
GACGUAGGAGGCGAGCGUUAUCCGGAUUCACUGGGCGUAAAGCGCAUGUAGGCGGUUGCACAAGUCCGUUGUUAAAGCCCCUGGCUCAACUGGGGGAGGUCAAUGGAGACUGUGCGACUUGAGGGCAAUAGAGGCACGUGGAACUCCCGGUGUAGCGGUGGAAUGCGUAGAGAUCGGGAAGAACACCAGUGGCGAAGGCGACGUGCUGGGUUGCACCUGGCGCUGAGAUGCGAAAGUGUGGGGAGCAAACAGG